GCGCCGAUGGGGUAGUGGUAACCUGGAUCGUUGCCAUUUCAUGUGGAUUGACAACUACACGAUCUCGAUCCGCCGCGGGUUCAAUUCCCGCUCGGCGCA